rnacentral:rRNA from 1 species
CAAUCACUUGUCUUUUAAAUGAAGACCUGUAUGAAUGGCAUCACGAGGGCUUAGCUGUCUCCUCUUCCAAGUCAAUGAAAUUGAUCUGCCCGUGCAGAAGCGGACAUAAACACAUAAGACGAGAAGACCCUAUGGAGCUUUAGACACCAGGCAGAUCACGUCAAGUAACCUUAAAUUAACAGGUAAAAACACAGUGACCCCUAGCCCCUAUGUCUUUGGUUGGGGCGACCGCGGGGGAAAACAAAGCCCCCAUGUGGACUGGGGGCACUGCCCCCACAACCAAGAGCCACAACUCUAAGUACCAGAAUUUCUGACCAAAAAUGAUCCGGCGAACGCCGAUCAACGGACCGAGUUACCCUAGGGAUAACAGCGCAAUCCUCUCCCAGAGUCCC